AACAUUUGCCCAGUCAUGCAUGCCCUAACCAUCGCAUGCAUGCACAAAUAUAUGGAUAGAUACAAAUAGACUGCACGCCAUACACUUACAAACAAAUGGGAACUGAUAAUGUCACACAGAGAUGUCAAAUUAAUUAUGUUCCCUUCAUCGUGUUUCAAAUUAUACAAGCAUCAAAGAAAGUACUUUGACAUUCCACCAACAGAGAGGACAACUUAACUAGAAGCAAUAGACUUAUAUUUAAUGGGUAUAAACUAACUAACAGGGAAAAUUGUAAAUUAAAAGUAGAAGUUUAGUUUCUAUCAUAUAUGUGAAACUUUCUCUUGAAUGCUUGUUUGAGGCUGACAUUACAUGAGUCCUAUGAUAGGAUAAGCCAAGACUCCAAGAAAACUACUUUCUAAAUUCGUUCAAGUCCAACAAUAAAUGACAACUUUAAAAACACCUCAUUAUCAGCCCCAGAUUUCACGAAUGCAUGCUCACCAAGCCAUAAUUAAGUAGAAGUCCUAUGCCAAGAAAAUGCCAUUUUGGGUAUAUAUCCUUUAAGCAGCUAGCCUUUGUAAUCUCCAGUUGUUCAACUUUGUGCCGAGCUCAGAUACAACUAGCUGCCGAGAAUUCUUAGUUCCCUUUAGUUGAUUGUUUGAAGAAUUCCCUUCAAGUCUUUCCCCCUUUCACCUUAUAUUGACACUACAAGUUCUCACUUUCCUCUUAUUUAACUCACAAUUCUCCCCAACUCUUAUCUGAAUCUUCGGAUGCUGAGAGCUCAAAUUCUCAUCAAAGUUCUAAAUUAAUUUCAUAUUCUAAAAUUUCAAAAUUUUCCAGAUAGAUCAGCG
rnacentral:lncRNA from 1 species